GCUCUUCUUCCGCCGCUGCCCGUUCGAUGGCGCCUUCGCCUUGGCCGCCGGCUUGCGCGACUGUGUGCGCUUCCUGCGCGCCUUCCGCCUGCGGGACGCCGACGUGCAGUUCCUGGCCUCGGUGCUGCCCCCAGACACGGACCCUGCGUUCUUCGAGCACCUUCGGGCCCUCGACUGCUCCGAGGUGACGGUGCGAGCCCUGCCCGAGGGCUCCCUCGCCUUCCCGGGCGUGAGUAGGGGUAAGCGGGCGGCGCGGCGGCCACGGGGUGCUGGGCCGAGCGCGGAGCUGACUUCGCUCCCCGCAGGUGCCGCUCCUGCAGGUGUCCGGGCCGCUCCUGGUGGUGCAGCUGCUGGAGACACCGCUGCUCUGCCUGGUCAGCUACGCCAGCCUGGUGGCCACCAACGCAGCGCGGCUUCGCUUGAUCGCAGGGCCAGAGAAGCGGCUGCUAGAGAUGGGCCUGAGGCGGGCUCAGGGCCCCGAUGGGGGCCUGACAGCCUCCACCUACAGCUACCUGGGCGGUGAGUGUCUGGUGCGGGGCAAGGCAAGGGCCGGGAAGGAGGAGCCCCGUCUUGGCCCGAAGUCCCCCAAUCCCACCGCCUUCCUCUCCAGGCUUCGACAGCAGCAGCAACGUGCUAGCGGGCCAGCUGCGAGGUGUGCCGGUGGCCGGGACCCUGGCCCACUCCUUCGUCACUUCCUUUUCAGGCAGCGAGGUGCCCCCUGACCCGGUCAGUCCCUCCUCUCAACCCUGCUGUCUCCAGGCGACAGGCCCCAAGCCAGCCCUUUCUCUGGCGAGCGGUGUGCCACCCAGUCAGGUCACCCCAGUGCUAUCCCAGGAAGCUGGCACGGGCUGCAUUACCUUUGCCCUCAAACUAGGGUGUCCCUGGCUGCUCCCAGGCCUCAUACUGCAUUCCUGGCCCCCAUUCGUCACCGACUCUGUUCCACAGAUGUUGGCACCAGCAGCUGGUGAGGGCCCUGGGGUGGACCUGGCAGCCAAAGCCCAGGUGUGGCUGGAGCCCGUGUGUGCCCACCUGGGGCUGGGGGUGCAGGAGCCGCACCCAGGCGAGCGGGCAGCCUUUGUGGCCUAUGCCUUGGCUUUUCCCCGGGCCUUCCAGGGCCUCCUGGACUCCUACAGCGUGUGGAGGUGAGCCCCGGCACUUUAGGGGUGGGCUCAGCAGAACCUCAGCAGCCCGUGACCCCCUUAUCCAUUCCUGCAGGAGUGGUCUGCCCAACUUCCUAGCAGUCGCCCUGGCCUUGGGAGAGCUGGGCUACCGGGCAGUGGGCGUGAGGCUGGACAGUGGCGACCUGCUACAGCAGGCUCAGGAGAUCCGCAAGGUCUUCCGAGCUGCU
rnacentral:sRNA from 1 species